AAAAUAUGAGAGUUUGAUCCUGGCUCAGGAUGAACGCUGGCGGCGUGCCUAAUACAUGCAAGUCGAGCG
rnacentral:rRNA from 1 species